rnacentral:rRNA from 1 species
GACGAACGCUGGCGGCAUGCCUAACACAUGCAAGUCGAACGAGACCUUCGGGUCUAGUGGCGCACGGGUGCGUAAGGCGUGGGAACCUGCCCUUGGGUUCGGAAUAACUCCCCGAAAGGGGUGCUAAUACCGGAUCAUGUCUUCGGACCAAGGAUUUCUUGCCUUUGGAUGGGUCCGCGUUGGAUUAGCUCGUUGGUAGGGUAAAAGCCUACCAAGGCGACGAUCCAUAGCUGGUCUGAGAGGAUGAUCAGCCACUCUGGGACUAAGACACGGCCCAGACUCCUACGCGAGGGAGCAGUGGGUGAUAGUGGACAAUGGGGGAAAUCCUGAUCCAGCAAUGCCGGGUGAGUGAUGAAGGCCUUAGGGUUCUAAAGCGCUUUUACCCGUGAUGAUAAUGACAGUACCGGGUGAAUAAGCUCCGGCUAACUCCGUG